GACGAACGCUGGCGGCGUGCUUAACACAUGCAAGUCGAACGGUGAAGCGCCUUCCUUUUUGGUGGGUGUGGAUGAGUGGCGAACGGGUGAGUAACACGUGAGUAACCUGCCCCCUUCUUCUGGAUAACCGCAUGAAAGUGUGGCUAAUACGGGAUAUUCUGGGUCUGUCGCAUGAUGGGUCUGUGAAAGAUAUUGUUUCGGUGGGGGAUGGGCUCGCGGCCUAUCAGCUUGUUGGUGGGGUGAUGGCCUACCAAGGCGGUGACGGGUAGCCGGCCUGAGAGGGUGGACGGUCACACUGGGACUGAGACACGGCCCAGACUCCUACGGGAGGCAGCAGUGGGGAAUAUUGCACAAUGGGCGCAAGCCUGAUGCAGCGACGCCGCGUGAGGGAUGGAGGCCUGCGGGUUGUGAACCUCUUUCGCCAGUGAAGCAGGCCUGCCUAGUUUGUGGGUGGGUUGACGGUAGCUGGAGAAGAAGCGCCGGCUAACUACGUG
rnacentral:rRNA from 1 species